rnacentral:lncRNA from 1 species
CCAUUACAUAAGCAAGAUGAACAACUUCCAAAGAAUGUCUCAAACACCAAGUGAAAUGGAAAUAAUAGGAAUUCCUUGUUUAUAUUGGAAUCUUUGGACCUCCUAGGGGAUGGUACCAUAGGGGAAAAAAGGACUUAAUUCAUUGUUUUGUGCUUGCUAAUUGAUUAUUUUAAACUUUUCUUACCUCUUUGAACCCCAGUAUCCUUAUCUAUGAAAAAGGGUAGUAAUAUAGUGUGGCUCAUAAUACUUUUUUGUGAGGAUUAAGUGACAUAAUGCAUGUGAGCAGCCUGAGAGAGAGAAGUCGUCAGUAAAUGUUAGUUCUUUUUUAUCCCAGUUCCCUCCUGACACACGUAUCGUGAUGAGGAAUCUAUUUCUUAUUCAGAAGAGGAGAGAGAAAACCUAGUAGGCUAUAAUCCCCAUUCGGAGACUUAGUCACUUUUAAUUUCCUUUUAUGAUAAGCUUCUAAGAGAGAAGCUUUAAUAGCACGUUAAAAGGUGAUCCUGAAGUACUGUUAAAUGUCAAAUAGGAAAUCUUUCAAAAACAUUUAUUUCCCCUUUCUGGUCUUCUACUCAGAAAUGGCUCUGAAACUUCUCUUUCGGGCCAUUCUGACUGGUUUCUGUUGCGCAUGCCGCCAGCAGAAGAAUAUGUAGCUGGUACCUUGCCUUGAUUAUUUUAAUUUGCAUAAACCAGUGGUUGUCAAAAUCACCCAGGAGGUGUGUUCAAAUGCAGGCUGCUGGGUUCCAUGCUGGGAGUUUCCCAUGUAUUAGUUAGCUCUGAGAUGGGGCCAGUGUCCAAGUAAUGCCGAUGGUCCCCGGAUCACACUUUGUGAUCUCCUGACUUAGAGUUUUAAGUCUUAAACUAUCAGAGGUCAAUUUUGGUUCUCCAGUGGCUUGAGGAUAAAUUUCAACCCCAUCUGUUUGACAUUCAGAAUCUCAAGCUAUCCUCCUAGGGUACUUCUAAGCAUCCUUCUAGAAAUUUCUGUCUAGUAAAAAGUUUCACUAAAUUUCAUUUUAUUUCUCUGUCUCAUUACAUUUGCUAACACCUCAUAACAAGGCUUAUUCAUACUGUUGAAAAAAAAGGCUGACUUAAAACUCAACAUUUGAAAAGCUAAGAUCAUGGCAUCCGGUCCCAUCACUUCAUGGCAAACAGGUG